CUAAAGUUUUAGGCUUUGGACACUGUUUCAUUGUCAAAAUUAAUAGAAACAACAAGAGCAAAUCAGUCAAAUCCCGGAAUGGAUCAGACUUCAUGGUGGACUCUUAGGCUGAAAAUAAUUUAACAAGAAAGUGAUUCAGUCGACUAAGAAAAAGGAAGUGUCAGACGGAUCUUAAGCGGAAAAGAACCUAAUUUAAGAAAGCCAUUCAGUCUCCCCGAAAGAAGAAGGGUCAGGUACAAUUUUAACAAUAUCAGGGAUGAGUUUUCGUUAUUGGAGAAUCCUUUGCCAAUGAGACAACCAAAUAUUUCCUCAGUCCUAAGGUGACUUGGAUCAUACUUAAUAGAAGAUUCUGAAGUUGAAAAUAACUAAACAUAAGAAAUUGAUUCAGUCUACUCGGAAAAAGGGUCAGGAACUAAUUAAAGCACAAGAUAUUUCUCUAUCACAUCUUGAUUUCCCAGGUAAAUACUAACGAUGUCAUGGAUCGGAUUUCAGUUGUUGGAGAGUCCUUUACACAUGAGGCAACCAAAUGUUUCCUGACCAGUACUAAGCAAUCAGGUGACAACUCAUAUCUCAAUUCCGUGUCAGGAGCAAAUUCGGGUUCUUCAUUACACAGCAUAACCUGUCAAGAUUAAAUAACAAAAAAUUAACAACCA